rfam:Triticum aestivum genome assembly, contig: Triticum_aestivum_CS42_TGACv1_scaffold_513895_6BS
CUACCACUCCCUCCGUCCAAAAAUACUUGUCAUUGAAAUGGACGUAUCUAGAUAUAUUUUAGUUCUAGACACAUCCAUUUUGAUGACAAGUAAUUCCGGAUGGACGGAGUAUUAU